rnacentral:ncRNA from 1 species
AUCCGCCCAAGGAGGGGCUCGCGUCUGAUUAGCUAGUUGGUGAGGCAAUAGCUUACCAAGGCGAUGAUCAGUAGCUGGUCCGAGAGGAUGAUCAGCCCCACUGGGACCGAGACACGGCCCAGACUCCUACGGGAGGCAGCAGUGGGGAAUUUUCCGCAAUGGGCGAAAGCCUGACGGAGCAAUGCCGCGUGGAGGUGGAAGGCCUACGGGUCGUCAACUUCUUUUCUCGGAGAAGAAACAAUGACGGUAUCUGAGGAAUAAGCAUCGGCUAACUC